rnacentral:pre_miRNA from 1 species
GUACAAAUCACCUAAAGAUCUUGUUAAAAUGCAGAUUCUGAAUCACUAGUCAGGGGAAGGGCCCAAGAGUUUGCACUUCUAACAAGCUCUCAUGGGAUGCAGUC